UACGUAGGAUCCGAGCGUUGUCCGGAUUUACUGGGUGUAAAGGGUGCGCAGGCGGACUGGUAAGUCAGUGGUGAAAUCUCGUCGCUUAACGACGAAACUGCCUUUGAUACUAUCAGUCUUGAAUCCGGUAGAGAUCUGUGGAAUUCCGAGUGUAGCAGUGAAAUGUGUAGAUAUUCGGAAGAACACCAGUGGCGAAGGCAGCAGAUUGGGCCGGUAUUGACGCUCAGACCCGAAAGCAUGGGGAUCAAACAGG
rnacentral:rRNA from 1 species